rnacentral:lncRNA from 1 species
UACCCUUUUCGAGAUAACAAUCUUUCUUUGCUUUUAUAUAUCUGCAAAAUUACGAGACAUAGAUCCAAGAUUUGCCGCCAUGUUAAUCUUGAUGAUUAGAACUGCAAAGGGUUGUGGUGAUUUGAAGAGUAAUUUGAGGGGAGUAGUGAGGGAAGAUGAUGGGAUAAUUUAAAAUGAUGAAGACAAAUAGGUGAGUAUCUUUGACUUUCAGAUUGAAUACCAUAUUUAUUUGUUUGUUAAUUUGUUAAUUUUGUAUGUAUAUGGUUGGGGUUUUGAAUUUUAAACUUUAUUAAUGUUCCCUGUUUUUUUUUUUUUUUUUUUGAACGGCAAAUUUGGAUCACUGACAGACCACUGGAGUAUCAUCGUGCCACCAGAGGAACCACCCGAUCAUAUCCAUCUCCACUAGGCAUAAUGUCACACCAAUUCAGGAGUAAACCCAAUAAACAUGGGAAAACCCCCCUUGUGGGAAUCGAACCCAGGACCUAUUGGUCCCAAAGCCUUAUCCCACCACCAAGAUGUCACUAGGCUAUAAAGCCAUGGGCUAAUGUUCCCUGUUUGUAUUAUGCAUAAUUUGUUUUUGUUGUUUUGCAUAGAUAUUGGGGAGAUAAUGUUUAAUCAACCAAAAUGUAAAGUUCUAUUAGAAAUAAGAUUUGAAUAAUUAGCCGGUUCUACUAGAAAUUAAAAUGAACAUUGUGUUAUCUAAGCGAAAUCAUUACAUUGAUGCUUUUAUAUGUUCGUAAUCAUGCUCAACUUUUCUCAUCUAACAUCUUUAACUGGAUGCUUUAUAAUUAUUUGAUAGACAUUCGUGUGCAGAAGUUUGUUCUGGUUUAUACGUGCUAAGGGUAUACGGGGCACCAGCGGGGAGUGCCUUCGGUGACCCAAUUCCCCUAGCGGGAACACCGCCGCCAUCCCUGCGGUGACCCAAUUCGGUGAAUGGGAUCGGUGGGAGGUUACCGCGUGAAGGGAGAGAGGGAGAGGGUGGCCCACAAGCUUUUCAACCAAUCAAAUUAUUUUCUUUUUUUUUUCUUUUUUUUUUCUUUUUGAAUAAAAAAGUAAGUCCCCUAAGAGAGGAGUGCCGCCAUCAAAUUGAGGGUGUGAGGGAGUUUAAGAGGGGAGUUGACGUGGCGCGUGCUGAUUGGUCGUGCGUAAGGGAGGGGACUCCCCUAAGAGGGGAGUGCCCCUCUCACCCUAAAAUUGCCAAUAUUGGUGGUCCGCGCUACAUGUACGGUCAGGAGCGCAAAGGGAAAAAAGAUAAAACACAGCUUCACUUAUUUACACCCAGAUGCUUGCAGAUAACUGAUGUCAAGACUAGAAAGGUUUCAAACCAUUGUUGGAAUUGACCAAUGAUGAUAUACAACCCUUUUUGAUAAUAUGUACAAUUGUAAAUAUUUAUUAGAAUAGUUAUUAUAUACUUUUUAUUUAUCAGGUAUGUAUUGAUCAUUCGCUUAUUAUGUCAAAAUAUGUUUUUAGCAUUU